AAGUAAUUGCUCUUUCCCGUCCCUGAAUGACAUUUUGGCUAAAUUUUCUGUAACUGCUGUUGUUCCUCUGGUUAUUAAAUUGUGUAAAAUGCCCACCCCUUCCUCUCUCCCUUCCUCUCUUCUCCCUCCCUCUGUAAACAGCUGUCUCAUUCACCGCCAGUCAAAACACCCUGGGACAUCCUGGGGCCCAGAGUAUCCUGCAAGGCUCAUGUGUGACCUCCUGGGAAGCAGGUGGCUAUUGAGCUUGGCAGUCUCUCCCCAGGAUGCGGCAGAGGGGCUCACCUUGGUGCGCCAAGAAGAGCAGCUGAGCUGUGCUGAGUUGGGUCUGUCUCCAUCCAGUAUUUGUGGUAACCACAGGCUUCGGGAUAGUCUGCUUCUACCUGGGCACAGCUGUGGAAACUUCCUCGGGCCUUAGAUUUUGCAUCGUUAGGGAUCCGCACCCAGGCAGAUGGACUGCCUCUCCUUUGACUUCCCGCCUGUUAUGCUUGGGACUACUGCAGAAGCUUAGCCCCUUCUGAUGUUUGUGUAUGACAAUCUACAGGCCCAGUCCUUGACACUAUCUGAUCCAGAGAGCUGCCUUGUGGGGAUGCAGACCUUCUACAAACAGGCACACUAUGCACCAGGCACCCAGCACAGUCACCCUGGCGCUCCACUCUCAAAAACAAAAGAAGGAUGGAGACCCACUGGACACAUAAAAAAGACCAGAAAUACGAGAAAGAAGUAGGAGAACAACCAACCUCAUAGGGAAAAUAAAUAUUUCAGAAAGCAGAAGAUAAUUCCUCAAAAUAUUAACCAGUGUCUUCAGAGGAAUGAAGGUCUGAGGCCUAUAAUGAAAAGGAAAUAAAUAAAUAAAUAAAUAAAUAAAUAAUUGCUGUCAAAAAGGAAUCACACGGUAAAGAUAGAAGCUUAGAAAUUAAACAGGAUGAUUUAAAUCAAAAUUUUAAUUAAGCUGAGCCAGGUGGUACACACCCUUAAUCCCAACCCUCAAGAGGCAGAGACGGGUGGAUCUUUGUGAGUUUGAAGCCAGCUUGGUCUACAUAGGGAGUUUUAGGUCAGCUAGAGCUACAUAGUGAAAUAUUUUCUCAAAAAAAAAAUGGAGUGAGAGGGAGCUGGAGAGAGAUUUCUCAUUGGUUAAGACUAUUUGCUGCUCUUCACAUGCCUGAAUUUAAUUCCCAAAACCACAGGACAAUUAAUAGCUGUCUGUAACUCCAGUCCCAGGGGAGCGAACCCCUUCUUCUGGACUGUCUGAGUAGCAGGAAGGCACAUGGUGCACAGACAAAACACCCAUAUACAAAACAAAAACCUAAAAUCAUUAGAGCUGGAGAGGUGGCUUAGCAGUUAAGAGCAUAUACUCCUCUUGCCAAGGGCUCAAGUUCAAUUCCCAGCACCUGCAUCAGGAAGCUCACAACCUCCUAUAAUCCCUGCUCCUGGGGAACUAACCCUCUCCUCUGUCCUCCUUCUGUAGGUCUCAUGCACUCACGUGCAUGCCCCACUGCCACAGACACAUACACAUAGUUAGAAAGUACAUUUAUUUUUGCAAUAAAAUAAUCUUAAAAUUCAAAAUUGUCAGCCGGGCAAUGAUGGCACACACCUUUAAUCCCAGCAUUUGGGAGGCAGAAGCAGGUGGAUUUCUGAGUGUGAGGCCAGCCUGGUCUACAGAGUGAGUUCCAGGAUAACCAGGGCUACACAGCGAAACCCUGUUUUGAAAAACAAACAAACAAACAAAAAA
rnacentral:lncRNA from 1 species